UUCGUGGUAGCUCAGUAGUGAAGGCAUCAGACUAGUGCUUGGAAGGUUGUGAGUUCAAAUCCCAGCAGUGCCA